rnacentral:rRNA from 1 species
UACAGAGGGUGCGAGCGUUAAUCGGAAUUACUGGGCGUAAAGCGCACGUAGGUGGCGACGUAAGUCGGGUGUGAAAGCCCCGGGCUCAACCUGGGAAUUGCAUUCGAGACUGCAUUGCUGGAGUACGGAAGAGGAAGGCGGAAUUCCCGGUGUAGCGGUGAAAUGCGUAGAUAUCGGGAGGAACAUUAGUGGCGAAGGCGGCCUUCUGGUCCAGUACUGACACUCAAGUGCGAAAGCGUGGGGAGCAAACAGG